UACGAAGGUGGCGAAUGUUGCUCGGAUUCACUGGGCGUAAAGCGUCUGUAGGUGGCUUGUUAAGUUAGAGGUGAAAGCCCGGGGCUCAACCCCGGAACUGCCUUUAAGACUGCAUCGCUUGAAUCCGGGAGAGGGAUGUGGAAUUCCAGGUGUAGCGGUGAAAUGCGUAGAUAUCUGGAGGAACAUCGGUGGCGAAGGCGGCAUCCUGGACCGGUAUUGACGCUGAGGCGCGAAAGCUAGGGGAGCAAACGGG
rnacentral:rRNA from 1 species